rnacentral:misc_RNA from 1 species
AAGUCGUAACAAGGUUUCCGUAGGUGAACCUGCGGAAGGAUCAUUACCAAGUGCCCGGUAUAGGUAUGCCUACCAGCUGCCUCUAUCGCGUGCCAUCCUUACCACCCUUGUCUAUGUAUACCUUUGUUAUCCCUCGGCUAGGUUCGCGUAACCCAGCCGGUCGGGACCCUAAACACCCUUGUAAUUAAGCAUUCUAUUUUCUGAUACCCUUUAAAAAAGUAACAACUUUCAACAAUGGAUCUCUUGGUUCUG